CCUACGGGAGGCAGCAGUGGGGAAUUUUGGACAAUGGGCGCAAGCCUGAUCCAGCAAUGCCGCGUGAGUGAAGAAGGCCUUCGGGUUGUAAAGCUCUUUUGUCAGGGAAGAAACGGUGUUUUCUAAUACAGAGCGCUAAUGACGGUACCUGAAGAAUAAGCACCGGCUAACUACGUGCCAGCAGCCGCGGUAAUACGUAGGGUGCAAGCGUUAAUCGGAAUUACUGGGCGUAAAGCGUGCGCAGGCGGUUUUGUAAGUUUGUCGUGAAAUCCCCGGGCUCAACCUGGGAAUGGCGAUGAAGACUGCAAGGCUAGAGUUUGGCAGAGGGGGGUAGAAUUCCACGUGUAGCAGUGAAAUGCGUAGAUAUGUGGAGGAACACCGAUGGCGAAGGCAGCCCCCUGGGUCAAACUGACGCUCAUGCACGAAAGCGUGGGGAGCAAACAGGAUUAGGAUACCCUGGUAGUCCACGCCCUAAACGAUGUCUACUAGUUGUCGGUCUUAAUUGACUUGGUAACGCAGCUACGCGUGAGUAGACGCCGUGGGAGGUACGGUCGCGAGAGUAAACGUACGAAGAAGUAGUAGCGUGAGAGUGACGACGGACGACGACGAGGGAGGAGG
rnacentral:rRNA from 1 species